rnacentral:rRNA from 1 species
UACGGAGGGAGCUAGCGUUGUUCGGAAAUACUGGGCGUAAAGCGCACGUAGGCGGCGCAGCAAGUCAGGGGUGAAAUCCCGGGGCUCAACCCCGGAACUGCCCUUGAAACUGCAGUGCUAGAAUUCUGGAGAGGCGAGUGGAAUUCCGAGUGUAGAGGUGAAAUUCGUAGAUAUUCGGAAGAACACCAGUGGCGAAGGCGACUCGCUGGACAGACAUUGACGCUGAGGUGCGAAAGCGUGGGGAGCGAACCGG